AUUCACUGGCAACACUGCUCCCGCACCACUCCGCACUUUAGUUCGGCGUUGGGAUCCACUUGAGACGGACGUGCGCGUAUUCUUUACGUACAGAUACACCAGUAUCUAUAUUGUUUGUGUCUGUGUUGCCUGAUGUAAGAAGGACUACUGGAAAAUGCCGAGUUCUAUUGAAAAACCACCCACGAUACCCACGUGCGACAUGGAGCACGUAGACACCCUGAAGAGAUGCCGCGCGGAGCUGACCGCAUACUUUACCAAGGACCUGCCGAGCUGCAUACAGCUCAUGCAAAUCUGGGCGCGGUCUGCCAGGUGCCACCCGUCGAAGCACACCGUGGAAGAGUACAUCGCGCCCGUGAUCCCGAUC